rnacentral:lncRNA from 1 species
CAAGAUGUCACGUGGUAUGACCCCAGCAGUACAGAGGUGACACCACAACUGCACAUCAAGGAGGAAGAGGAGGAGGAGGAGGAGGACCCAGACUGUUUAACGUAUUCACUAGGCAUUCCCUCACAUCCUAGGAGCCCCAAGGAAGACAUCAAUGCAGCCAAAACCAGUAACGAGCCACCUUCAUUUGCUUCGGGAGAUCGAGCUGCUACGCCUGUCCCCAGCUGUCUGUUCCCUUCCCCUCCA